AACGGAAAAAUAAUUUGGCCGCCACUGGCAGACAGGUGUACACGUGACGUCGAGUUCGGAGGGGAGGAACGAAAGAAUAUUACAGUAUAGUGUCUGCGUACGACACUGACGGACGCGGUGGGUGUAUAACAGCGAUAAAAUAUAAUUUAUAGAGUACUAACAUUGUCAAAAUAUCAUCCGCGGUUUUCUAUUGUCAGUUAUCGGGAUCGUUGACGCGACACCGGU